rnacentral:rRNA from 1 species
UACACGACCGUACCGCAAACCGACACUGGUGCGCGAGAUGAGUAUUCUAAGGCGCUUGAGAGAACUCAGGAGAAGGAACUCGGCAAAUUGACACCGUAACUUCGGAAGAAGGUGUGCCUUUAGUAGGUGAACCAUUUACUUGGGGAGCCCAAUGAGGCUGCAAAAAAUCGGUGGCUGCAACUGUUUAUUAAAAACACAGCACUCUGCUAAGACGAAAGUCGACGUAUAGGGUGUGACUCCUGCCCGGUGCUGGAAGAUUAAAUGAUGGGGUGCAAGCUCUUGAUUGAAGUCCCAGUAAACGGCGGCCGUAACAAUAACGGUCCUAAGGUAGCGAAAUUCCUUGUCGGGUAAGUUCCGACCUGCACGAAUGGCGUAAUGAUGGCCACACUGUCUCCUCCUGAGACUCAGCGAAGUUGAAAUGUUUGUGAUGAUGCAAUCUCCCCGCGGAAAGACGGAAAGACCCCAUGAACCUUUACUGUAGCUUUGUAUUGGACUUUGAACAGAUCUGUGUAGGAUAGGUGGGAGGCUUUGAAGUGUGGUCGCUAGAUCGCAUGGAGCCAACGUUGAAAUACCACCCUGGUGUGUUUGAGGUUCUAACUUAGGUCCAUUAUCUGGAUCGGGGACAGUGCAUGGUAGGCAGUUUGACUGGGGCGGUCUCCUCCCAAAGUGUAACGGAGGAGUUCGAAGGUACGCUAGGUACGGUCGGACAUCGUGCUAAUAGUGCAAUGGCAUAAGCGUGCUUAACUGCGAGACUGACAAGUCGAGCAGAUGCGAAAGCAGGACAUAGUGAUCCGGUGGUUCUGUAUGGAAGGGCCAUCGCUCAACGGAUAAAAGGUACUCUGGGGAUAACAGGCUGAUACCGCCCAAGAGUUCAUAUCGACGGCGGUGUUUGGCACCUCGAUGUCGGCUCAUCUCAUCCUGGGGCUGUAGCCGGUCCCAAGGGUAUGGCUGUUCGCCAUUUAAAGAGGUACGUGAGCUGGGUUUAAAACGUCGUGAGACAGUUUGGUCCCUAUCUUCCGUGGGCGCUGCAGAUUUGAGGAAGCCUGCUCCUAGUACGAGAGGACCGGAGAGGACGAACCUCUGGUGUAUCGGUUGUCACGCCAGUGGCAUUGCCGAGUAGCUAAGUUCGGAAGAGAUAACCGCUGAAAGCAUCUAAGCGGGAAACUCGUUUUAAGAUUAGAUCUGCCGGGGCCUUGAGCCCCCUAAAGAGUCUUCAAGACCAGGACGUUGAUAGGUCAGGUGUGGAAGC